rnacentral:rRNA from 1 species
GACGAACGCUGGCGGCGUGCUUAACACAUGCAAGUCGAACGAUGAAGCCCAGCUUGCUGGGCGGAUUAGUGGCGAACGGGUGAGUAAUACGUGAGUAACCUGCCUUUAACUCUGGGAUAAGCCUUGGAAACGGGGUCUAAUACCGGAUACGACCAACCCUCGCAUGAGGUGUUGGUGGAAAGGGAUUUUGUACUGGUUUUAGAUGGGCUCACGGCCUAUCAGCUUGUUGGUGAGGUAACGGCUCACCAAGGCGACGACGGGUAGCCGGCCUGAGAGGGUGACCGGCCACACUGGGACUGAGACACGGCCCAGACUCCUACGGGAGGCAGCAGUGGGGAAUAUUGCACAAUGGGCGCAAGCCUGAUGCAGCGACGCCGCGUGAGGGAUGACGGCCUUCGGGUUGUAAACCUCUUUCAGCAGGGGAGAAGCGAAAGUGACGGUACCUGCAGAAGAAGCGCCGGCUAACUACGUGCCAGCAGCCGCGGUAAUACGUAGGGCGCGAGCGUUGUCCGGAAUUAUUGGGCGUAAAGAGCUUGUAGGCGGUUUGUCGCGUCUGCUGUGAAAGCCCGGGGCUUAACCCCGGGUUUGCAGUGGGUACGGGCAGACUAGAGUGCAGUAGGGGAGACUGGAAUUCCUGGUGUUGCGGUGAAAUGCGCAGAUAUCAGGAGGAACACCAAUGGCGAAGGCAGGUCUCUGGGCUGUAACUGACGCUGAGAAGCGAAAGCAUGGGGAGCGAACAGGAUUAGAUACCCUGGUAGUCCAUGCCGUAAACGUUGGGCACUAGGUGUGGGGAACAUUCCACGUUUUCCGCGCCGUAGCUAACGCAUUAAGUGCCCCGCCUGGGGAGUACGGCCGCAAGGCUAAAACUCAAAGAGAUUGACGGGGGCCCGCACAAGCGGCGGAGCAUGCGGAUUAAUUCGAUGCAACGCGAAGAACCUUACCAAGGCUUGACAUAUACUAGACCGCCUCAGAGAUGGGGUUUCCCUUCGGGGCUGGUAUACAGGUGGUGCAUGGUUGUCGUCAGCUCGUGUCGUGAGAUGUUGGGUUAAGUCCCGCAACGAGCGCAACCCUCGUUCUAUGUUGCCAGCACGUAAUGGUGGGGACUCAUAGGAGACUGCCGGGGUUAACUCGGAGGAAGGUGGGGAUGACGUCAAAUCAUCAUGCCCCUUAUGUCUUGGGCUUCACGCAUGCUACAAUGGCCGGUACAAAGGGUUGCGAUACUGUGAGGUUGAGCUAAUCCCAAAAAGCCGGUCUCAGUUCGGAUUGGGGUCUGCAACUCGACCCCAUGAAGUCGGAGUCGCUAGUAAUCGCAGAUCAGCAACGCUGCGGUGAAUACGUUCCCGGGCCU